UACGUAGGGUGCGAGCGUUGUCCGGAAUUACUGGGCGUAAAGAGCUCGUAGGUGGUUUGUCGCGUUGUUCGUGAAAAACUCACAGCUCAACUGUGGGCGUGCGGGCGAUACGGGCAGACUGGAGUACUGCAGGGGAGACUGGAAUUCCUGGUGUAGCGGUGGAAUGCGCAGAUAUCAGGAGGAACACCGGUGGCGAAGGGCGGGGUCUCUGGGGCCGAUACUGACGUGAGGAGCGAAAGCGUGGGGGAGCGAACAGGA
rnacentral:rRNA from 1 species